rnacentral:rRNA from 1 species
UACGAAGGGGACUAGCGUUGUUCGGAAUCACUGGGCGUAAAGCGCACGUAGGCGGAUAUGUCAGUCAGGGGUGAAAUCCCGGGGCUCAACCUCGGAACUGCCUUUGAUACAGCAUAUCUUGAGUCCGAUAGAGGUGGGUGGAAUUCCUAGUGUAGAGGUGAAAUUCGUAGAUAUUAGGAAGAACACCGGUGGCGAAGGCGGCCCACUGGAUCGGUACUGACGCUGAGGUGCGAAAGCGUGGGGAGCGAACCGG